GGGGGCGUACCGGAUUUCGACGGGGAAUUGAAGCCCUGAUGUGCGAGCAGUGCGCAAAUCACUUUAACUUGCAAUUUUAAAUUUAAACGCUGAUUCUAACGAAUUGGUCGCUGCCUAAUUAGGCAGCCGUUCCCUCACGGAGGACUGCGGCCGUGAAUGGAGCGUCGACAAGCAGUGAACGUUACUUGACGGUGUCGCGAGUCAUUUAAUGAACAAUUGCGGCUAUAGCGGCUACGGAUUUGUCUCUUGUUCCCAACCGCCGAACUCAAACAACCGACUACGCUCGUAGUACAGCUCGGUAACGGCUCUUCGGACACGGGUUCAA
rnacentral:tmRNA from 1 species